rnacentral:lncRNA from 1 species
CGAGUUGAGAUGGAAUAUCUUGAGCAAGGGAGGGAUGAACAGAUUGUUUUGAAAGGAAGAGAUAAGAACAGAGGCGACAGGCAGAGCCAUAUCGUCACUGGCAUCUCGAAGCAUCGGCCAGCGCAACAAGUUAAUCCACAGUUGCAUCUACAUGCAUCUGCCACAAGUCGAGGUGGAUGGCAUGCAAACGGUACCAAUUUGGAUAAAUCAAGCUUCUGUGCCUAUCCGUUUAUCCCGUUGGAUUUCACCGUGACGAACAGAGCUCGAGCAAGCUAGCGCCAGCGCCGGCCAACACCCAUGCCGCCGUUGCCCUUCGCGUCACCGCCAGCAAGUAGCUCCACUAGCCCCACCACGACGCCCAAGCCUAACCGUUGCUCGUCUCCCUGCCGGCAAGCUUCGAAUCGCCGCCGUUACUGUCCGCCGGCCGCCGUCACCUAAUUCCCCAAGGUGAGCUCCUGAACCGAAUGUUCUUCUCAAUUAGCGGGCUUAGGAGCGUCCUGCUAGGAUGUGGGAGCUGUUGGGGAAGUCAGGGGAACAGCUUGUGCCGCCUCCGUGCGCCGCCAUGGCCGGCCGAUGGCCAAGCCGCGGCCGCCCGUGGAGGGGCCGACUCGGGCCACCUCCCGGCGAGCUGGCAGUGGGCGCGGGUGCGCCUGACCUGGGGCGCCGCCACCCCGUCCCUCUCGGCCGCCGGCGAGCCGCCAGCCGGCGAGCCCCCAUCAGUCCCGUGCGCCCCUGUUUUGGCGCAGGGAGAAAGGAACCGAGCGCCAGGAAGAUGAGAGGAUAAAGGGGGGAGGAAGACAGGCCAGCCGUGCGACAUGGGCCGAGGGAAAGGCGCGGCCCAGCUAAGCCCGUGCGGCAUAGAAGAAGAGGAGAAGGGAAGCAGGCCGGUUUGUGCGCUUGGGCCGUGUUACCAGUGUGCGGUAGGAGAGGCCCAAGUGAGAAUAGGGAAGAAGAAAAAGAAAGGAGGGGCCGCCGUCCGUUCGUGGGCCAAGGGGGAGGAAUCGGCCCAGCCGACCCGCGCAAGUAAAAGGAAAGGGGGAGCCGGUGGGCCGUGUUGAGCGUUGGGAAGAAAUAAGCCGUGCGGCCCAGGAGGAAAAUAGAAGAAAGAAAAGAGUGGGCCGGAAAUGGUUGAGAAGGAGGAAGCUGGGCCGUGGCCUGUAAGAAAGGCAGGCCGGCCGAGCACUCGUUGGGUCAGAUUAGCAAAGCCCGUGCGCCAGGGGAAAAAGAGAAAAGAAGUUUGGUGGACCAGCUUAUGGGCCCUAGGUGGAAGUGAUAGUGGGUAGAAGCAAGUCGGGUGAGAAAAGUUUGGGCCGGCGGUUUUUAUUAAACCUUAGGUUUUCUUUUAUUAGAUAAAAUAGAUUAAAUGCUGUUUUCACCAUUUAAUUCACAAGAAAUUUUAGAAGUGCCCAAAAUUAGUGAAACCAAUUUUUAGGAUUGUUUUAUUUUCCUUUAUGCAUUAAAAUUCUUAAACCCUAGGAAAAAUAAUAAAAAUUUAGGUAUUUAUUUAAUGCCUUUUUGUGUAAGGUAUUUAAAUAAAUGCUUAAACUUUAUUAAAUAUAUAAAACUUGAAAGUGCUUUUUUAUCCACAAAUUAUUAUUAAUUCAUAGGAAUUAGGUUUUUGAGAUUAGAAAAUUAUUAUAAUGCUUUUAAAAAUAAAUAAAAAGGUCUAAGGUAGGUUUAGUAAAGGAAAUAAAAAUGGUGGGCUAAUCUUUUCGGGUUUUUGUGUGUUGGCUUGCAACUUUAUCAUGAUAAAUUGUAUAGUCCUUGUUGGCUUGCAACUUUAUCAUGAAGGAAAGUUGUAUAGUCUUGUAUUCAAAAGUUUGCAUCUCUAACGCUUGCAUAUACUGAAUCGUAGACGUCACAACUCCUGGAGUGGGAAUUCAUGGAAUUCAGCUGGAAAUGGACAGCGUUCGCGAAGUGUGGAGUGCCUCUUUCAAUAAACAAGUUUCCCGAAGAACUAACCUUUGUUGAUCCCAGGCAAGCCCCGGUGCAUUUAUACCUAUCUAUUUUGGAGUCGUUAUUUCAUGUGACUAGUUAUAGGUUAUUGGUUUAUUGUAUGCACUAAGUCUAGGAGUUGAAUGAAACCUAUUCUUGUGUAUGAUCAUGCCUUGAUUUAAGGACAUCUUUGCCACUUGUUCAAAUCUUAGAAACUACCCAAGUCUAGAAUUGCUUACUUGCUUACAUGAUUGGUUUACCAACCUUAAGGAAAACUCUUAAGUCAUACAUGUUGCUUAUGAAGGAUAGUCUGGAAUAUGAAUACGGACAGAAGCUAGAGAUGUAGUUCUGUCUGCUAGAUUAAUCUGCUUAAGGACCGGGCCGUGUCUUAACCGCUGGUCAAGUGAUAACAUCUGAUCACUUACUGGGUAUGGGACCAGUAAAGCCCAGUAGGUUAGUAAAUUCUAUGAUCAGGAAUGCUUCGUACCCGCAUUUGACGUGCUGGAGAUUGGCAGGGGUGUAGCCUGAAACUCACAUGGAGAUCGGGCCAGACGUGGGGUCCCAUGUGGGGGUGCAUCCCUGGGUCCGGGUAGUUGUAUUCCUAAUCAUUGACUUUGCUAAUCGAGAGGUUGUGAGAUACGACCGGAACAGUCGUAUAAUGCUGGUGAUCGGGGUACUCUCCUGCAGGAUGUAAAUUGAUCCGGAUCGCCGCAAUUCUCGGUUAUGAAUGCACUUGAUCACCGUUGAGCAUCGUAGUAUUACUUCAUGCAAUAUAAAAUCUCCUGUUGCCAAGUAUUGUAUGACUUAACAGCUGUGGUUGCUUUUACUUCUGUUAUCAUCUAGAAUGAUUAGGUAAUAACUUAAUCCAAAUAAAAGAUAAAACUAAGGCCUUACUUGUAGUAAGCUUUUCGGCGAAAGUUGCAUUAGCCAAGUACACCAAAAAGCCAAGCAUCCACUUCUAAAGAAAGCUAUUAUAUUGGUUAGUCGGGUAAGACUUGCUGAGUACUUCGUACUCAGGGGAUCCCUUGUUGUUGUUUUCAGAAAGCCAGCAGGGACUCACCGAAGAGGAAGCCCCGAAGACCUAGGGUAUCUUAUGAGUCUCAUGAUACUCUAGAUUGAAACUUAAAUAUUUGUUUUUCGUCCAGACUGGUUUUAAAUUCUUAGAACCACGCUGACUUGCAUGAUUAAGUUGUUUCGAACUAUGGUUGUAAUAUAUCGUACCUUGGUUAUGUCUUUAAAAAUGUAAUAUUUGUUGAUAUUAUCCCAUCACGGAUAUUAUCCUGAUGUAUGGCUAUGAGACACGUCGUGGAUCCUUCGAGGAGUCCUAGGGACACUCGACGGACUACCGGACUUACGCUGUUUUAGGUGCGUUUCGGAUAAUUGCUGUUCCGACAGCAAUUAGGCGCACUUAAACCAGCUUAAGUUGGGCGGUUCCGCCACAGGU